UCUGGUUGAUCCUGCCAGUAGUCAUAUGCUUGUCUCAAAGAUUAAGCCAUGCAUGUCUAAGUAUAAGCAAUUUAUACAGUGAAACUGCGAAUGGCUCAUUAAAUCAGUUAUCGUUUAUUUGAUAGUUCCUUUACUACAUGGUAUAACUGUGGUAAUUCUAGAGCUAAUACAUGCUUAAAAUCUCGACCCUUUGGAAGAGAUGUAUUUAUUAGAUAAAAAAUCAAUGUCUUCGGACUCUUUGAUGAUUCAUAAUAACUUUUCGAAUCGCAUGGCCUUGUGCUGGCGAUGGUACAUUCAAAUCUCUGCCCUAUCAACUUUCGAUGGUAGGAUAGUGGCCUACCAUGGUUUCAACGGGUAACGGGGAAUAAGGGUUCGAUUCCGGAGAGGGAGCCUGAGAAACGGCUACCACAUCCAAGGAAGGCAGCAGGCGCGCAAAUUACCCAAUCCUAAUUCAGGGAGGUAGUGACAAUAAAUAACGAUACAGGGCCCAUUCGGGUCUUGUAAUUGGAAUGAGUACAAUGUAAAUACCUUAACGAGGAACAAUUGGAGGGCAAGUCUGGUA
rnacentral:rRNA from 1 species